UAUUGGCUCUUGAUCUAUGUUUCUUGGAACAGGACGUCACAGAGCGGUGAGAAUCCCGUGCGAUGAGAUGCCCAAUUCCAUGGUAAAGUUCCUUCGACGAGUCGAGUUGUUUGGGAAUGCAGCUCUAAGUGGGUGGUAAAUUCCAUCUAAAAGCUAAAUAUUGGCGAGAGACCGAUAGCGAACAAGGUACUGUGAAGGAAAGAUGAAAAGGAACUUUUGAAAAAAGAGAGUGAACAACAAGUUACGUGAAAAUUUGUUUGAAAAGGGGAAAGGGGCUUUGGAGGUCCAGGAACUUGGGGUUUUAACCCAGGGGCCCAGGCCAUCCAGUUUUGGGAAUGGGCCAGGGGAUAAAUAAACUUAAAGGAAAAAGUGGGCCACUUGGCUUUCGGGUUGGGUUGUUGGUUUUAAUUAGGUUCCUUGGGGGUUUGGAAUUACUUGCCCUUGUUCUAGGAACUUGGAAGGGAACUUGGCGGUUCCUUUUUGGAACCUUAAGGGAAUUGGCUGGGCAUUUAAAUGGACCCCUUUUAAGGCCCGGCCCCGGUCUUGAAACACGGGGAACCC
rnacentral:rRNA from 1 species